rnacentral:misc_RNA from 1 species
GAAGCGCGAAAUGUAGUGUGAAUCGCAGAACAUUGUGAAUCAUCGAAUCUUUGAACGCACAUUGCGCCUCUCCUAUCGGAGAGGCAUGCCUGUCUGAGCGUCAUUUAAACCAUGGGCCCACCCUUGGGUUCCGUGCUGGGUCUCGCCCUCCUCGGGCGUCUCCUCAAAGCCAUUGGUCUACACGAGCGGACGAAAUCCUUCAGGACUGACCGUUUGUAGGACUUUAAAUCUCCAGAAUUGACCUCAGAUCAGGUAGGACUACCGCCUGAACUUAA